GAUGAACGCUGGCGGCGUGCUUAACACAUGCAAGUCGAACGGGAAACCUUUUAUUGAAGCUUCGGCAGAUUUAGCUGGUUUCUAGUGGCGGACGGGUGAGUAACGCGUGGGUAACCUGCCUUAUACAGGGGGAUAACAACCAGAAAUGGUUGCUAAUACCGCAUAAGCGCACAGGACCGCAUGGUCCGGUGUGAAAAACUCCGGUGGUAUAAGAUGGACCCGCGUUGGAUUAGCUAGUUGGCAGGGUAACGGCCUACCAAGGCGACGAUCCAUAGCCGGCCUGAGAGGGUGAACGGCCACAUUGGGACUGAGACACGGCCCAGACUCCUACGGGAGGCAGCAGUGGGGAAUAUUGCACAAUGGGGGAAACCCUGAUGCAGCGACGCCGCGUGAAGGAAGAAGUAUCUAGGUAUGUAAACUUCUAUCAGCAGGGAAGAUAGUGACGGUACCUGAAUAAGAAGCCCCGGCUAACUACGUG
rnacentral:rRNA from 1 species